rnacentral:rRNA from 1 species
AACGUAGGGGGCAAGCGGUGCUCGGAUUCACUGGGAGUAAAGGGCGCGUAGGCGGAUAAACAGGUCGGAUGUGAAAUCCCGGGGCUCACCCCCGGAACUGCAUCCGAAACUGUUUAUCUGGAGUAGUGGAGAGGAAAGCGGAACUCCUGGUGUAACGGUGAAAUGUGUAGAUAUCAGGAGGAACGCCGAUAGCGAAGGCAGCUUUCUUGACACUUACUGACGCUGAGGCGCGAAAGCGUGGGGAGCAAACAGG